AGAGUUUGAUCAUGGCUCAGAUUGAACGCUGGCGGAAUGCUUUACACAUGCAAGUCGAACGGCAGCACGGGGGCAACCCUGGUGGCGAGUGGCGAACGGGUGAGUAAUAUAUCGGAACGUGCCCAGUCGUGGGGGAUAACGUAGCGAAAGUUACGCUAAUACCGCAUACGAUCUACGGAUGAAAGCGGGGGAUCGCAAGACCUCGCGCGAUUGGAGCGGCCGAUAUCAGAUUAGGUAGUUGGUGGGGUAAAGGCUCACCAAGCCAACGAUCUGUAGCUGGUCUGAGAGGACGACCAGCCACACUGGGACUGAGACACGGCCCAGACUCCUACGGGAGGCAGCAGUGGGGAAUUUUGGACAAUGGACGCAAGUCUGAUCCAGCCAUUCCGCGUGCAGGACGAAGGCCUUCGGGUUGUAAACUGCUUUUGUACGGAACGAAAAAGCCUUGGCUAAUACCCAGGGUCCAUGACGGUACCGUAAGAAUAAGCACCGGCUAACUACGUGCCAGCAGCCGCGGUAAUACGUAGGGUGCGAGCGUUAAUCGGAAUUACUGGGCGUAAAGCGUGCGCAGGCGGUUAUAUAAGACAGAUGUGAAAUCCCUCGGGCUCAACCUGGGAACUGCAUUUGUGACUGUAUAGCUAGAGUGCGGCAGAGGGGGAUGGAAUUUCUCGCGUGUAGCAGUGAAAUGCGUAGAUAUGCGGAGGAACACCGAUGGCGAAAGCAAUCCCCUGGGCCUGCACUGACGCUCAUGCACGAAAGCGUGGGGAGCAAACAGGAUUAGAUACCCUGGUAGUCCACGCCCUAAACGAUGUCAACUGGGUUGUUGGGUCUUCACUGACUCAGUACGAAGCUAACGCGUGAAGUUGACCGCCUGGGGAGUACCGCCGCAAGGUUGAAACUCAAGGAAUUGACGGGGACCC
rnacentral:rRNA from 1 species